GUGCUUGCUUUGGCAGCACAUAUACUAAAAUUGAAAUGAUACGGAGAAGAUUAGCAUGGCCCCUGAGCAAGGAUAACACACAAAUUCAUGAAGUGUUUGCAUAUUUA